CCAAUAGCGUAUAUUAAAGUUGUUGCAGUUAAAAAGCUCGUAGUUGAACUUCGGGGUCUACCCAUUGGUCAGGCUUAAUUGUCUGCACUGGUGAGAUGGAUCUCUACCUUCUGAGGAACUUUCAUGCCAUUUAUUUGGUGUGAUGGGAAAUCAGGACUGUUACUUUGAAAAAAUUAGAGUGUUUAAAGCAGACUAUCGUCUGAAUACAUUAGCAUGGAAUAAUGAAAUAGGACGGACUGAUUCUAUUUCGUUGGUUUCUAGGAUCACCGUAAUGAUUAAUAGUGAUAGUUGGGGGCAUUAGUAUUCAAUUGUCAGAGGUGAAAUUCUUGGAUUUAUUGAAGACUAACUACUGCGAAAGCAUUUGCCAAGGAUGUUUUCAUUAAUCAAGAACGAAAGUUAGGGGAUCGAAGACGAUCAGAUACCGUCGUAGUCUUAACCAUAAACUAUGCCGACUAGGGAUCGGACGAAGUUAAUUUUAUAAUGACGCGUUCGGCACCUUACG
rnacentral:rRNA from 1 species